AUUGAACGCUGGCGGCAGGCCUAACACAUGCAAGUCGAACGAGUGGCGGACGGGUGAGUAAUGUCUGGGAAACUGCCUGAUGGAGGGGGAUAACUACUGGAAACGGUAGCUAAUACCGCAUACCAUCAGAUGUGCCCAGAUGGGAUUAGCUAGUUGGUGGGGUAACGGCUCACCAAGGCGACGAUCCCUAGCUGGUCUGAGAGGAUGACAAGGAAAACUGGAACUGUGAAACGGUCCAGAGUGCAACGGGAGGCAGGAGGGGGGAAUAUGGGAGAAGGGGGGCAAGGCUGAAGGAGCGAUGCAGCGAGUAUGAAGAAGGGCUUAGGGUUGAAAAGUACUGUCAGCGGAGAGGCGGUAGGCGCAGAAGAAGCACCGGCUAACGCCGUGCCAGAAGCCGCGGUAAUAC
rnacentral:rRNA from 1 species